rnacentral:tRNA from 1 species
GCAGUGAUAACUCAAUUAGGUAGAGUAUAAUCUUGCCAAGAUUAUUGUUGAAGGUUCAAGUCCUUUUCAUUGCU